CCUACGGGGGGCUGCAGUGGGGGAUAUUGCACAAUGGGAGGAAUCCUGAACCAGCCAUGCCGCGUGCAGGACGACGGCUCUACGAGUUGUAAACUGCUUUUGUACCGGGGUAAAAUGCUCUACGAGUAGGGUUUUGAAAGUACGGUACGAAUAAGGAUCGGCUAACUCCGUGCCAGCAGCCGCGGUAAUACGGAGGAUCCGAGCGUUAUCCGGAUUCAUUGGGUUUAAAGGGCGUGUAGGCGGGAAAGCAAGUCAGAUGUGAAAACCAUGGGCUCAACCUGUGGCCUGCAUUUGAAACUGGUUUUCUUGAGUACUGGAGAGGCAGACGGAAUUCCUAGUGUAGCGGUGAAAUGCGUAGAUAUUAGGAGGAACACCAGUGGCGAAGGCGGUCUGCUGGACAGCAACUGACGCUGAGGCGCGAAAGCGUGGGGAGCAAACAGGAUUAGAUACCCUUGUAGUC
rnacentral:rRNA from 1 species